GGGCCCGCACAAGCGGUGGAGCAUGUGGUUUAAUUCGAUGAUACGCGAGGAACCUUACCAGGGCUUAAAUGUAAGUUGCAUGGAUCAGAGAUGAUCCUUUCUUCGGACCACUUACAAGGUGCUGCAUGGUUGUCGUCAGCUCGUGCCGUGAGGUGUCAGGUUAAGUCCUAUAACGAGCGCAACCCCUAUCGUUAGUUGCCAGCAAUUAAAGUUGGGUACUCUAGCGAGACUGCCGGUGCAAACCGUGAGGAAGGUGGGGAUGACGUCAAAUCAUCACGGCCCUUACGUCCUGGGCUACACACGUGCUACAAUGGCCGGUACAGAGAGCAGCCACUACGCGAGUAGGAGCGAAUCUAUAAAACCGGUCUCAGUUCGGAUCGCAGUCUGCAACUCGACUGCGUGAAGCUGGAAUCGCUAGUAAUCG
rnacentral:rRNA from 1 species